GAAGCUGCUGAUAUAUUUAACCGUCACUCAUCAGCUUCAUUCAAAUGAUUUUCAGCAUCUAAAGGUGUUUCUCUGCUAUGGAUCAGUGUGAGGACAGAGAGGAGGGAGUCCCUCCCUCUAAAAGCUCUCUGUGUGGGGAACAUGACAGCCAGACCAAAGCUCAGAGUAUCAGGAUGCAGCAGCAGAGAGCAGACUCUCCUGAACCCACCUGUGUGUCCAU